rnacentral:rRNA from 1 species
CCUACGGGGUGCAGCAGUGAGGAAUAUUGGUCAAUGGACGAGAGUCUGAACCAGCCAAGUAGCGUGAAGGGUGACUGCCCUAUGGGUUGUAAACUUCUUUUAUAUGGGAAUAAAAUGUUCCACGUGUGGGAUUUUGUAUGUACCAUAUGAAUAAGGAUCGGCUAACUCCGUGCCAGCAGCCGCGGUAAUACGGAGGAUCCGAGCGUUAUCCGGAUUUAUUGGGUUUAAAGGGAGCGUAGGUGGAUUGUUAAGUCAGUUGUGAAAGUUUGCGGCUCAACCGUAAAAUUGCAGUUGAAACUGGCAGUCUUGAGUACAGUAGAGGUGGGCGGAAUUCGUGGUGUAGCGGUGAAAUGCUUAGAUAUCACGAAGAACUCCGAUUGCGAAGGCAGUUCACUGGACUGCAACUGACACUGAGGCUCGAAAGUGUGGGUAUCAAACAGGAUUAGAUACCCCAGUAGUC